AUGAACGCUGGCGGCGUGCCUAAUACAUGCCAGUCGAGCGAACAGAUGAGGAGCUUGCUCCUCUGACGUUAGCGGCGGACGGGUGAGUAACACGUGGAUAACCUACCUAUAAGACUGGGAUAACUUCGGGAAACCGGAGCUAAUACCGGAUAAUAUAUUGAACCGCAUGGUUCAAUAGUGAAAGACGGUUUUGCUGUCACUUAUAGAUGGAUCCGCGCCGCAUUAGCUAGUUGGUAAGGUAACCGCUUACCAAGGCAACGAUGCGUAGCCGACCUGAGAGGGUGAUCGGCCACACUGGAACGGAGACACGGUCCAGACUCCUACGGGAGGCAGCAGUAGGGAAUCUUCCGCAAUGGGCGAAAGCCUGACGGAGCAACGCCGCGUGAGUGAUGAAGGUCUUCGGAUCGUAAAACUCUGUUAUUAGGGAAGAACAAAUGUGUAAGUAACUAUGCACGUCUUGACGGUACCUAAUCAGAAAGCCACGGCUAACUACGUG
rnacentral:rRNA from 1 species